UUUUAUCCGAGAAUGUCUUGAUUUUGCCCUUAGUUUCUGACGAUUUUUUAUGGGUACAGUAUUCUGAAUUGACAGUUCUUUUCUUUCAGAGCUUGAAAAAUGCUGUGUUGCUCCCUUAUGGCCUCCAGAAAGAUUUCUGAUGAGAAAUCCACUGUCAUCCAAAUAGAUUUUCCCUGGUAUGAUCCAGGCUCUUAAGAAGGCAGUGCUUGGAUAAGGGGAGAAUGUGUUCUUGGGAGUCUCCCAUUCUGGAAGUCUGGGUCCAUACUGUCUGAUAUCUGUUAUCCAGGGAAUCUUGCUUAUCCUGCUGCAAAUAAAAAGUAUUUCUCAUGUUA